rnacentral:rRNA from 1 species
GACAGAGGGGGCAAGCGUUGCUCGGAAUUACUGGGCGUAAAGGGCGCGUAGGCGGGAUGGCAAGUCGGUCGUGAAAUCCCUCGGCUCAACUGAGGAUCGUCGAUCGAUACUGCUGUUCUUGAGGAUUGCAGAGGAGACUGGAAUUCCCGGUGUAGCGGUGAAAUGUGUAGAGAUCGGGAGGAACACCGGUGGCGAAGGCGGGUCUCUGGGCAAUUCCUGACGCUGAGGCGCGAAAGCGUGGGGAGCAAACGGG